AGUGUUUCUAUGGAUAUUGCGAAAGUGGCUGAGAGCUGAGGUUUUGAUUACCGUCAGUUCGGGUUGAGGCGGAAAGGACUCUGUAAGACGUUUGGAUUAUGGAAUUGCACUUUGAGGACUUGAGC